rnacentral:rRNA from 1 species
CAGCAGCCGCGGGAAUACGUAGGGUCCAAGCGUUAAUCGGAAUUACUGGGCGUAAAGCGUGCGCAGGCGGUUGUGCAAGACCGAUGUGAAAUCCCCGAGCUUAACUUGGGAAUUGCAUUGGUGACUGCACGGCUAGAGUGUGUCAGAGGGGGGUAGAAUUCCACGUGUAGCAGUGAAAUGCGUAGAGAUGUGGAGGAAUACCGAUGGCGAAGGCAGCCCCCUGGGAUAACACUGACGCUCAUGCACGAAAGCGUGGGGAGCAAACAGGAUUAGAUACCCCGGUAGUCCCUGUCUCUUAUAA